rnacentral:rRNA from 1 species
CCUACGGGAGGCAGCAGUGAGGAAUAUUGGUCAAUGGGCGGAAGCCUGAACCAGCCAAGUAGCGUGCAGGAUGACGGCCCUACGGGUUGUAAACUGCUUUUAUACGGGAAUAACGCGCCUUACGUGUAGGGCUUUGCAUGUACCGUAUGAAUAAGGACCGGCUAAUUCCGUUCCAGCAGCCGCGGUAAUCAGGAGGGUCCGGGCGUUAUCCGGAUUUCUUGGGUGUAAAGGGUGCGUAGGCCGCAUGUCAAGCGUGCUGUGAAAUGUCCGGGCUCAACCCGGGCCUUGCAGCGCGAACUGGCGUGCUUGAGUCCGCGGAAGGCAGGCGGAAUUCGUCGUGUAGCGGUGAAAUGCUUAGAUAUGACGAAGAACCCCGAGUGCGAAGGCAGCUUGCUGCAGCGGAACUGACGCUGAUGCUCGAAAGCGCGGGUAUCGAACAGGAUUAGAUACCCCAGUAGUC